rnacentral:rRNA from 1 species
GUGUCAGCAGCCGCGGUAAUACAGAGGGUGCAAGCGUUAAUCGGAAUUACUGGGCGUAAAGCGUGUGUAGGUGGUCUGUUAAGUCAGAUGUGAAAUCCCUGGGCUCAACCUGGGAACUGCAUUUGAUACUGUCAGACUAGAGUGUGGUAGAGGGUAGUGGAAUUCCGCAUGUAGCGGUGAAAUGCGUAGAGAUGCGGAGGAACACCAGUGGCGAAGGCGGCUACCUGGACCAACACUGACACUGAGGCACGAAAGCGUGGGUAGCAAACAGGAUUAGAAACCCCUGUAGUCC